GUUCCUGUAGUGCUAUGGAUAGCACGUCGAAUUUGUAAUCCAAAGAGCGUGGGUUCGAAUUCCACCUGGGAUG